UACGUAGGGCGCAAGCGUUAUCCGGAAUUAUUGGGCGUAAAGAGCUCGUAGGCGGUUUGUCGCGUCUGCCGUGAAAGUCCGGGGCUCAACCCCGGAUCUGCGGUGGGUACGGGCAGACUAGAGUGAUGUAGGGGAGACUGGAAUUCCUGGUGUAGCGGUGAAAUGCGCAGAUAUCAGGAGGAACACCGAGGGCGAAGGCAGGUCUCUGGGCAUUAACUGACGCUGAGGAGCGAAAGCAUGGGGAGCGAACAGG
rnacentral:rRNA from 1 species